AACCCAGUGAGACCUCCGGCGGCGCUGGGGCCGAACCCCCAGAACACCGCACCCGCCCCGGAGGAGCCCGGCACGCCCCAAUUCCCGGAGCCCGGCGUCCGGCUCCUCCUCCCACCCGACAGCCCCUUGAAUUUUUUUCCUUUCCCGCUUCCCUGCUCGAACCUCUUCUCCUGCCCCCCACGACCUUCCUGCCCGGUGUGUCCUUCACCAACGCCGGCCCCUGGUUGACCAGACAGAGCUCGACCGCCCUCCGGCUCGGUCUGGGCCGCUCUCUGAAUCAAUCAGCUUAACGAAGGGCUCGGUGGGAACAACAGACCAGGAGACGCUCGGUUCGAGAACCACUGUUGCCGAGGAUGCUGGGACACGGAAACGACAAACUGACAACCAACCGAAAGGCCUUUCUGGGGGUCCCAGAGAAACGUCCUGCCUAAACCACACUAUUCCCGUCAGAGGCCCGUGUAGCAGGGCUCUUUCAAAACGUCCCGGGGCAGCCGCUGGGGCGCGUCAGGGAGGGAUGUUACUGCAGCACCAACUAUCUCACCCCCCCAGUGGCCUCUUCAUCGCCCUGAGGUCCCCGUCCUUGUGAUCCUGGAGGGGACGAGCCCCCCGCUAACUGGACACUCGAGCGGUGUGCCCACCCCCCCCGGGUCAGAGACACUUACCUCGGCCGCCUCUGAAGCCGCCACGCCCCCUGCCACCGCCUCGGUCCCCGAACCCGCCUCGUCCGCGGCCUCCGAAUCCUCCUCCUCCUCGGUCUCCGAAUCCUCCUCCUCCUCCUCGGUCUCCGAAUCCUCCCCUCCCGCCUCUCGGACUGAAGCCUGCCGGGAGAGAACCACAGGAGAGGGGGUUACUCGCCCCAUCGUAGAGCCGCCCGAGAGAACCACACAGCGCAGGGCCUGUCCAAGUGCGUCCGCAGGGCUGUCCAGUCAGUGCGUGUGCAGGGCCGGUCAGUGCGUCCGCAGGGCUGUCCAGUCCUGCUCCUGGAGAGCCGGUCAGUGUGUCUGCAGGGCUGUCCAGUCCUGCUCCUGGAGAGCCGGUCAGUGUGUCUGCAGGGCUGUCCAGUCCUGCUCCCGGAGAGCCGGUCAGUGCGUCCGCAGGGCUGUCCAGUCCUGCUCCUGGAGGAGCCGGUCAGUGCGUCCGCAGGGCUGUCCAGUCCUGCUCCUAGAGGGCCUGCAGACACACUGACUGGCCCUCCAGGUCUCUUAAAGGCAGUAUCGACUGGAGAGCCAGGAGAGGCUGUGCAAUUGGCCCAGUUAAAUCAGCACUCAGCCGGCUCAGCUCCUCAAGAGCUCAGUGGGGAAGAACACCCUCAGACACUCCAGCUGCCCGGGACCAGGGCUGGACACCCCUGGGAGCGAUGUAGGGAAGCACUGCAACACCAAAGUGUGCAGCUGCACAAGUCCUCCCCCACCCCCCCACAAACCACACUGCAGGACGGCAGCUUCUCCUGUCUCACUAACUUGUCUUCUAGACACAGGACCAGACCGCCGACACGCUCCUUGACUGGACACUGUAACGGUCUGCAAAGCGCGAGUUCCAAUAGUUUAAAACGGGCAGCGGCCAGGCCACCGGACUCAUCGGCUGACUCGCACAGGCUGCGGGUCCGAGUCCCAGGUAGAGACAGUGCAGCUGCUGUCCUGUGCGGGUGCGGCACCCCGACCGAAGCGGUAAAACACCCCGACUAAACCGGCACACGUGCGCCUCGCCCCCGACAGACACGCCAGUGUCAACAUCACCGUCAGCAGCUGCGAAACAUGUACCACGUGGGGCCAAUGAACCCGACAUGAAAGGGCAUUUAAAAAGCGAGAACCGGACGCUUUUCUUUACACGGAGGGAGGUAGGGGUGUGGAACAAGCCGCCGAGCCACGUCGCUGAAGCCGAUUAAAAGCAGCUGAAGAAGGUCCUGGGUUCAAUUAGCUGUUAAGCUGACGGACUAAAGGGGCUCCUCUUACUUCCCUUACUUACUUUUCAACUGCGAGACACUGACCCGAGCCCGGGAGAUCCUCUCCGAUCCGUAAUCGAUCACAAUUAGCGCUAGAAGACGCUUUUCGUUUUACAGACUUUGGAACAUCGCUAGGAAGCGCACGUUUAAAUCGGACGUUUUUCUAAAAGUUCGAGCAUGCAAGGAAUCGGUCUGUGCGCUCUCACAAGGACCCCACGUCUCCCCACACCAAGCACAUGGCCGCGGCACUGAAAACGAUCCCCUCGCACGAAAACGGCCAUCGCAAUCGUUGUGUUGUUGUUGUUGUUGUUUUUUUGGCAUUUGGCUUCGCUUAACGCCAAAAGACACCCGCUUCCUUCCGAAAUUCACGCCAGAACUCAAAUCACGAGCAGGAGAGAGCUACAGGGCCGACAGCAAUCCAAGCCAAAACAUCAGUUAACGCUGGAUCCAAACUGAGCGACGAACUAGUCCAGCACGCUGCGCCCAAUACAAACACAUUAACUAGCGUCCCAGCUGCUCACGGCAACAGGAACAGCGGGGAACUGUUGAAAUUCCGUCUAAAUCGUGCACGCCGCGUCAAGUAAUCGUCUGGAAGUUACUAAAAUGAGCCUAAAACAGAUCCUAAACCUCCGGCGUGCGCAGGCCACGACCCCCCGUCCGCCACCGAGAAACUCUCCUCUUCUGCACGAACCAGCUGGCUUUAACUUCGAAAUGCGAUUUAAGAAAAUAGGAGCCUCCGAACAAGGCAGACACCAAACUCGGAGCGGGUGGUCUUUACGGCGCUUGAAGGCAUUUUUGCCUUUUAUUAUCACGUUUUGUUUUCGGAGGGUGAUUUGUCUCCGGCCCCGGUGAGACUCGGAGGACAGGAGCGGCGGAGCUCCGUGUUAUUACCUCCCGGGUCGUUUUUUUUUUUUUCCCCCUUUUAACGCGUCAGGGGAUCGCGGAUCUGCUUACCUGGCUUCAUGUUCGCGUCUCGGGAUGUAUCGCUGCAACGACCUGGGCGCAGAAAUCGGAUGAGUUGUGUCGCCGCUCCGCUCUCCGUCCUCCGCACUCGGGCGCUCGCUGUCUCUCUCUCUCCUGCUCACACGUGCUGCGUCCGCACCACAUGGGCCGGCGGCGGAAGUUCCAAGCCCGCGCGCCCGAGCGCUUCCUCUCGCCGGCGUCGCCCACAGCGCCCCCUACCUCGGAGGACACACACCGCAGGCCGCUCUCCACCUCGGGUCCCCCACAAAGCUGUGUUUCGGGAACUGGAAAUACAGCUUUUGGUAUUUUGGUAUAUUUGGAAAUACAACUGGAAAUACGACACCUGAAGAAGGCUCCACGGCCGAAACGUUGUGUUCUCUUUCUUCUUUUUUUCAGCAUGGAAUAAACCUAUUACUUGUUAUUUUUCGGAAUUUUUUGUCUUCGAAACCUGUACUUGAAACCCAUUGAAACCAUCUUCAACUUUUUUUGUUCCGUGCACUUAAAACAUCUUAUUGUGGCCGGAACUUAUUCAGUCUUACUCUAGUUGAAGCUUACACGUAAGCCUAGUACGCUUUACCUUUUAAAAAAGCUCCACCAUGGAUUUCAAAUGAGACUUUGUGCUGUUAAAUUACUGUGCCGCCUCAAAGAUCUGCGCAAGCUCAGUGAGUCCUAAGUGUUAACUGAACAGGGUCUUGUUCAGUGGGAUAGGUUUAUGGAUUGUUAAAUGCUAUACUCCUUUUUUACAGUUUCGAAAUGGUUACUUCUUGUGUAUCGUUAUCAGUUUCUUUAUGAUGGCGAUGUGAUUAUAAAAGUAUUCUCCUAUGAUGUUUUAGGUGUUUUGAAAUGCAGUUGGGUCGCCCUCUAGUGGACGGGGGGGAGGGUGGCUCAGAACUGUUUAUUUUUACAGUUCGACUAGACUGAUAUUUCAAAGUUCUCUCGAAGAACAUUAAACACAUUAAAGCAGUGAUACGAACGAGGACAGUGAGGGACACCGAGCUUCAUCAAGGCAGCCAGAACAAGGUGAUCGCAGCACGGAGGAACCCAUUUUCAGCAAUAAUACUUUUAUUUACAGACCUGAUUAAUAGAAUUGUGCUUGAGCUUUGUUGGAUAACACUUAAAACACAGCACUACAAUAAUAAUAAUAAUAAUAAUAAUAAUAAUAAUAAUAAUAAUAUGCUCUAUGAAUCUGUUAGAAAAGACACUGCUUUAUGACAAUGUAAUAUGGCACAGCAGAAAUAAGUUUUGUUUGCUGAAGCCCCAUCAUGGAUUGAGAUUACUGUAGGUUUAGUGGCACAAAGAGUAGAUUCUGCUAAAGAGGUGACAGAUAUUUAGCCCUGUCCAGUACAAACACGAAGCUGCACCGUCUGCUUAACAUGAAACCAUCCUUCUUCAGACGAUCGCAGACGAAGGCCGGAUCGUUGGUCACCGGAGGGCGGAUUCCAGGAACAGGCUCUUCCGCGCUCAGUCCCCGCACAGCGGCUUUCCUGCUCAGGGCGCGGCAUGGCCGAUUGCAGAGCCAGGAGUGCACCCUGAAAGUCAACCGGUUAACGAUGAUUUCAGCCGGAGUGACCGGCAGAGGACAAGGGGCUGACCAAGGCGGGCUCGUCGCUUUCAGCUUUCAUCCAAAACACUGAGGCGCUAGAGGGAUCGGUUACUGUGUAAGUGCAUCAGGGGCACACAGCCCCCUUAAAACCUUAUAUAUUACAGCUGCUGUAUCAGCUCACCCAGUAGAUGUGUUGAUAGCGUCUUCUGAGAAAAGGGGUGAUGAUCUGUGGUGCUGUGUAACUGGUCAGUGGCACUUAGUACCAUGGAGUUGUAUUGGCAGAGCUUAACAGGAACAAAUGACCAAUAAACAAGGUGGCACUUUUAGCUGGGGUAAGAUGCUAUUGUAUAGAGAUUGUGUCAGAAAGAAAAAAAAUAUCUAGCGAUCCAGCAUGGAAUAGUUGAUGCACUUGUUUCUGUCACAAUCCCUUCAUCACAUAGUCUUGUGACUGAAUCAUUAACCAUAACUAUAAGCAGCCAGCCUAGUUUUUCAUUCAUUGACACUUUGCAGAUGUGGGAGGACUUAAUCUCUUUUCUGAAGUCUCUGGUGGAGGCACAGUGAAAGACAGCAAUUUUCAGGAGGCUCUCUCCUUUAUGAUAAAGCACACACGUCUGUGUUGGCUUCCAAAUUCUGUUUCCACUCACCGUUCAGCUGAAUCCCUUGACAGAUGUUUCCCAGCAGGUCUUCUGGUUAGCGGUCCAUCUGAGCUCUCUUGUGACUUAAUUGGACCAGUUAUAUGCAUAAGGAUUGAACAGAUGUGCUUUCAACAUACGUUUAUUCCUGCUAAAAAAGCUGCUAUCAGAAGUGAACGGACUGUUCCUUUGUGAUUCAAGUAUUCAAUUUGGAAUUGCCAAAUAUUUUUCUAUUGUCUUUGGACACGUCACAAGCUCCAUAGUGCCUUACGGGAGAGCCAGUACUGAUUGGAGCACUUUGCUUGCUGAUGUCACUGAGAACCCACAGGAGUCUGACAAGUACUGGUGAUAGGAUUGGCUGAAGUGCUGACCAAUCAGGAUCAAGAUUCCCCAUGUGGAGGCACGCGAUUGGCUGAGACAUUACUGACCGUGGUCCGCCCAGAGCUCGGCGUCCUGCGGGAGCCUGCAGGCGAAAGGGCAUCUGUAACAGAAACGCCAGCCAUCUGCUGGAGUCAGUGGGGCAGGAGUCCAGACACAAAGUGAUGUCACCUGGCUCUGGCUGCAAACCCUUUGGCUGAAGGCCUGAGAUACGCAUGCUUUUGACUUGAUAAAUGACCCGCGAACAAAAAAGCACUGAGAACAUGAAAAAAAAUUGCACAAAGAUGUAGACGCCAAAUCUAUUGACCUUUUUUUGAGAUUUUGAUACAGAUCCCCUUUGCAGAGGAGGACAUGCCAUCCGACGGACUUCCGGGAGCUGGGCGCGGACACGGACAGGAAUGGAUUUUGCGAAAGGGUGAACGUGUGUCACGCUCAAACCUUAAGGCAAAGGAGAAAUAAAAGAAGGACACAGUCGUCUCAGAAGCAAGUUCUGCAGCUGCUAUAGUACCUGCAGUGUGGUUCUGCUUUACGGAAAGGGGCAUCUGGGGGCUUAUUUUAUUUUUUGCUGGGGGAGGGGGCGGGGGGGGGGGGGUUACUCUCCAUUCUCCAUUUU
ensembl:lincRNA